GAACUUAUCUGGCAGGAAACCGUUGGUGAUCAGGAGGGUCAAGGUUCCAAGUCGAGGCUAUCCCACUGCACUUUGGGUGUGCUGAUGCCUGCAAUAUCCCCAAAUGCGGGAUACUUGACUGCAUAACUUGUGGUGGUACUGCACACAAAUUUGGUACACUU